GCCAGAGCUGACAUGAAGUAGAACAGAGAUGAGCUGAGCUUUGCCCCACCUGCAGAUGUAUAUAAAGAAAUUGACACAACUAAUUAGAAGCCGGGUCCAAGAUUUUCAUUUAUAAAGUCUACUUCCAGCACUCACUCUUUGACCCCCUAUACUUCAUACUCCAGAGUGACUCCAAACAAAGACUAUGGAACUUCCCACAUACACCCCUUUUGGCUGAGCUGUAUGGCCAUAAGCGUAGAGACUUGCAGCUGUAUGUGGCCGUGAAUGAGAGACCCAGAGAUGGAAGCUUCACAGCAUUUGUGGCAGUAGCGGCAGAAAUGCAUCACACAUUUGAGUCCCUAGAUGGCCUUGUGGAGAAACGUCUACCUGCCACCCUGGACUAUUAGCUGAAAGAUAAGCGGUGGGUCCUGCUAUCAACUUGUAGUAAAUACCUUCCUUGUUAUGAUAAGGCAUCACACCCUGUUGCAGUCAAAUUCUUAACCACUGCAGUUCCAUCACAGACAUGAAAAAGAUGCAGGCAAGAUAUGGAGUGUCUUCAUGGGGGAGAUUCAGAAGCCAUGGAUGGUGUAGAAAGAAAUAUUCUUCAAACAAAACCUUAUGAGGAACAGAACCAUAGCUCCUGAAACUGUGUGAAAGCAAGAGAAAGAGAGUCUUUUGUCAAUAGUCUGUCCACACAUAUCCAGACCCAACCCAAAGUUACAACCUGACCUCCACGAUCACUUUCCCUCACAGGGACCGCACUAUGAGGAACACGCCAAAGUUGAGAAAGGGUAAGAUUCUUGCCCAACCUCAAGACCAGUGCUAUUCUCUUCACGCCAAGGCAGGAAGAUCACUGAAGCCCAGAAGUUCGAGGCUAAAAUGAGCUAUGAUUGUGCCAACGCACUUCA